rnacentral:rRNA from 1 species
UACGAAGGGGGCUAGCGUUGCUCGGAAUCACUGGGCGUAAAGCGCACGUAGGCGGGUUCUUAAGUCGGUGGUGAAAUCCUGGAGCUCAACUCCAGAACUGCCUUCGAAACUGGGAAUCUUGAGUCCGGGAGAGGUGAGUGGAACUGCGAGUGUAGAGGUGAAAUUCGUAGAUAUUCGCAAGAACACCAGUGGCGAAGGCGGCUCACUGGCCCGGUACUGACGCUGAGGUGCGAAAGCGUGGGGAGCAAACAGG